AUUGAACGCUGGCGGCGUGCCUAACACAUGCAAGUCGAGCGGUAACAGGUGUAGCAAUACAUGCUGACGAGCGGCGAACGGGUGAGUAAUGCUUCGGAAUCUACCUUAUGGUGGGGAAUAACUAGCCGAAAGGUUAGCUAAUACCGCAUACGUCCUACGGGAGAAAGCAGGGGAUCGCAAGACCUUGCGCCAAAAGAUGAGCCGAAGUCGGAUUAGCUAGUGGGUAGGGUAACGGCCUACCAAGGCGACGAUCCGUAGCUGGUCUGAGAGGACGACCAGCCACACUGGGACUGAGACACGGCCCAGACUCCUACGGGAGGCAGCAGUGGGGAAUAUUGGACAAUGGGGGAAACCCUGAUCCAGCGACGCCGCGUGUGUGAAGAAGGCCUGCGGGUUGUAAAGCACUUUUAGUGGGGAUGAAAUGUGCAGGGUUAAUACCUCUGCAUUUUGACCUAACCCACAGAAAAAGCACCGGCUAACUCUGUGCCAGCCGCCGCGGUAA
rnacentral:rRNA from 1 species